rnacentral:rRNA from 1 species
GACGAACGCUGGCGGCGUGCCUAAUACAUGCAAGUUGAGCGAUGAAGAUUGGUGCUUGCCCCAAUUUGAAGAGCAGCGAACGGGUGAGUAACGCGUGGGGAAUCUGCCUUUGAGCGGGGGACAACAUUUGGAAACGAAUGCUAAUACCGCAUAAUAACUUUAAACAUAAGUUUUAAGUUUGAAAGAUGCAAUUGCAUCACUCAAAGAUGAUCCCGCGUUGUAUUAGCUAGUUGGUGAGGUAAAGGCUCACCAAGGCGAUGAUACAUAGCCGACCUGAGAGGGUGAUCGGCCACAUUGGGACUGAGACACGGCCCAAACUCCUACGGGAGGCAGCAGUAGGGAAUCUUCGGCAAUGGACGAAAGUCUGACCGAGCAACGCCGCGUGAGUGAAGAAGGUUUUCGGAUCGUAAAACUCUGUUGGUAGAGAAGAACGUUGGUGAGAGUGGAAAGCUCAUCAAGUGACGGUAACUACCCAGAAAGGGACGGCUAACUACGCG